UCUUGAAGGUAAAAUAUAUUGUGACAGGCUUGAAUAAAACUUGUAACAAGAUUUAACAGAAAAUAUACAAAGUUGAACAUAAAAUAUCCAAGAUAUUAAACUACAUGGAUCGCAAAACAAGUGUAUUUAUCAAUUAUCGAAUCCAAAAUAAUAAAGAUGGAUAAGCAUCCUGACCUCUAGAAAUUACUUACAAAAAUAUGAAAUAUUAUUUGAAAAUACCAUACUUAUUAAUUACAUAAUCAGUUCAGGUGUUCUCUUAAUUGUAGAGGAAAUUAUGAUAACAAAUAGAUGACAUUGAAUAAACAAAAGACACAAGUAAGAAGGGACUGAUAUUAGGUAGUUCUAGAGAAGUGGUGUUACCCAUACCACUCUUGUACUUUUUCUCGCUUGCGGAUACGAUCCGGGCGACGACCACCUCACGCAAGCGUGUCGUGGAGUCUAUCAGGUAUGCUUUCUGACAAUUAAGUACACCUAGUCAUCCUACCAAGAUUUGAUGCUAAUGAACUGCUACAAAUUCAAAUUUUUCUUUGUAUUGUUUUUUGUUAAUCCUGAGGUUCUUCAAACAGCUUGAUGCCUGGGGAGAGGAUGGAGAGGUUCUGCAAAGUGCAAAUCAUUAUGCCUUCAGAAAGUUUUCUAGCAAAGUUGUAUGGUGAAUUGCUCGCAACACCUUAACCUCUCGCCUAUAUGUAGACGGUAAUCUUGGUACAAUUGCACGCCUUCGGAAGUCUGCGUUGAAUGAACACCAACGACACCUCGACUCCUCGUUUAUAUGUAAGCGAUAAUCUUGGUACAAUCAACGAUUGAUGCAGUAGAAAACGCUAUACACAACUAUGUAUUGUUGUAUGAUAAGUCGAUAAUGAAUCUCACAGAAAACUAUGAACAAUUUAGGAGUUCUCAAAAAACCAAAGAAUAUAAUAAUUCUCACAAGUUGUAUUGAAUAAUAAUAAUGUAUUGAAUUACAUUCAUAAAACUUAUUUAUACUAGCUAUGGAACCCUAGAAUCCAUAAAAGGUAAUAACAAUCGACUUGGAAUCAAAAUCCUAUCUAAAAGUGUCUAAUUACAAUAAAAAUCAGAAAAUAUAUUGAAAAUAUAAAGUUUAUGAAG
rnacentral:lncRNA from 1 species